rnacentral:rRNA from 1 species
UCCGGUUGAACCUGCCGGACCCGACCGCUAUCGGGGUGAGGCUUAGCCAUGCGAGUCGGAUGUCUUGGGGAUCCGCCAGGGCAUGGCGGACGGCUCAGUAACACGUGGCCAACCUACCCUAGGGAGGGGAAUAACCCCGGGAAACUGGGGCUAAUUCCCCAUAGGAGAGAGAAGCUGGAAAGCUUCCUCCCCGAAAAGAACCGCGUCCGGCACCCGGCGCGGCUCCGCCCUAGGAUGGGGCUGCGGUCCAUCAUGGUUGUUGGUGGGGUAACGGCCCACCAAGCCGAAGACGGAUGGGGGCCGUGAGAGCGGGAGCCCCGAGAUGAGCACUGAGACAAGGGCCCAGGCCCUAUGGGGUGCAGCAGGCGCGAAACCUCCGCAAUGCAGGAAACUGCGACGGGGUUACCCCGAGUGCCGCCCGAUGAGGGCGGCUUUUCUCCGGUGUAGAAAGCCGGAGGAAUAAGCGGGGGGCAAGUCUGGUGUCAGCCGCCGCGGUAAUACCAGCUCCGCGAGUGGUCGGGGUGAUUACUGGGCCUAAAGUGCCCGUAGCCGGCCCGGCAAGCCUUGCUCUGAAAUCCCCAAGCUCAACUUGGGGGCGGGGGAAGGUACUGCCGGGCUUGGGGGCGGGAGAGGCCGAGGGUACUCCUGGGGUAGGGGCGAAAUCCGAUAGUCCCAGGAGGACCACCAGUGGCGGAGGCGCUCGGCUGGAACGCGCCCGACGGUGAGGGGCGAAAGCUGGGGGAGCAAAGGGGAUUAGAUACCCCUGUAGUCCCAGCUGUAAACUAUGCGGGCUGGCUGUUGGGUGGGCUUAGAGCCCGCCCAGUGGCGUAGGGAAGCCGUUAAGCCCGCCGCCUGGGGAGUACGGCCGCAAGGCUGAAACUUAAAGGAAUUGGCGGGGGGGCACCACAAGGGGUGAAGCUUGCGGCUUAAUUGGAGUCAACGCCGGG